rnacentral:rRNA from 1 species
GACGAACGCUGGCGGCGUGCUUAACACAUGCAAGUCGAACGGAAAGGCCCUGCUUUUGUGGGGUGCUCGAGUGGCGAACGGGUGAGUAACACGUGAGUAACCUGCCCUUGACUUUGGGAUAACUUCAGGAAACUGGGGCUAAUACCGGAUAGGAGCUCCUGCUGCAUGGUGGGGGUUGGAAAGUUUCGGCGGUUGGGGAUGGACUCGCGGCUUAUCAGCUUGUUGGUGGGGUAGUGGCUUACCAAGGCUUUGACGGGUAGCCGGCCUGAGAGGGUGACCGGCCACAUUGGGACGGAGAUACGGCCCAGACUCCUACGGGAGGCAGCAGUGGGGAAUAUUGCACAAUGGGCGGAAGCCUGAUGCAGCAACGCCGCGUGCGGGAUGACGGCCUUCGGGUUGUAAACCGCUUUCGCCUGUGACGAAGCGUGAGGGACGGUAAUGGGUAAAGAAGCACCGGCUAACUACGU